UGUCGUGUGUUUUUAUUUCAUUGUUUUAUUUUUCACUUUUCAAUAUAUAACGUGCAUUUUUGUAUCAGGAUUUCUAGAUGAAUUUCUCUUCGCAUUCCCUAAUACCUCUUUUUCUUUUCGAUCAUUAUGAUCUUCAAGCAGAUUUCCAAUACAUUUCAAGAAUAGGUUCAGUAUACGUCAAAUGUUAAAAUGGUAGAUCAAAUGUUUCGUCCGUGUGGUACUUUUUACCAAACUUAAUGUAACCAACCAUGCAAAACUGCGCUAAAAUGUUACCUAUACAAAGUUUUUGCAUCGUUAUGUCCCAGUGUUGCGAGAUUAAAUUUGUUUUUUACUAGCUACUUUUCAUUUAUUUUAUUUUUAUUUAUUUUUUGGGGGUUUGGUUUUUGGGGGGGGGAGUACCAAAUUUUAAAACAAUCAGAUUGCGCUGAUUAUUAGAGCAGUUUGCAUUCUUAUACGUGUAUCAAUAAAACACAUUAUACCAGCACCCUUGAAAAUAACAUUGUGUUGUUGACUAAUAUUUUUAAAAUGUAGUUAAAAUAUUUUUAUACUGUGGUACGCAUGUAGACCAAUCGAAGUGCACUGUCAGGACGUGUUAUCGACCAGAAAUCUGUUUUAGUCAGUGGGGAUGUACUUCCAAAUGCCAUAUGAAAGCCAGGACUCCCUCCCCUAUCAACAAUAGUUUUACCUAUCUCCUCUAGGACAACACAUUGGUUCAAUGGUUGUUGUACAAGACAAGAUGUUUUAUAGAUUGAAUUGAGUUCACUAAUAAUUCUGUAUAUUGAAUGAAUACCCGUAUGAAAAUUUACUUGAAUGGAAAAUCCCUUCUCAGGUUGAUUGGUUUAAGCAACUGUUGUGCCGGCACGACCUGGGAUGAUCACCAAAAGGAAUGUGUUCGUAGAGUGUGAUCCAGGAUUCAGAGGAAUCAACUGUUCUGAACUUUGUCCUCGCGGCGUGUUUGGAAGACGAUGUCAAUCAGCAUGUCCACAGGAGUGCCAGUAUUGUCACCAUAUUACAGGGGGAUGUCUAACAGACCAAAAUAAUUGUGUUCCAGGAUUCGUAGGACACAACAGUUCUUUUCGUUGUCCUCGCGGCGUUUUUGGAAGACGAUGUCAAUCGAUAUGUCCACAGGACUGCCAGGAUUGUCACCAUAUCACUGGGGAAUGUCUAACAGACCAAAAUGAAAGAAUUGCCUGUUUAUGAACAAAUCAACGAAAACCAAACCUUGCGAGAAACUACUCUUCCGAAAAUGGGAAACUCCUCGUGACAAGACACGUAGCUUGGUGUCUAGAACUUGGUGGUUAAUGAUGACACCAUGAAAAACUGAAUGUUUUGAGACAUUGUUUGUUUCACUAAAUAUUGUGAAUCAAUCAGAAAACGUCAAUGAAUUGUAUAUUAUACAGUGAUGUUUAUACAGUGUACAUAUUAUGAUCAAGUAUAGUGUUCUCGAUUCCACAGUGAUAUUUAUUGAAAACACUAACAUGUUCAAAUAUUUAAGGAAAAUCAGAAUACAGAAUUCCUGAAUAAAUUGCUGUAUGUAUAAAACGUAUCACAACCAAUUACAACCAAUGCGCUUUCUUUUACAUAAAGCAAGAGAAACACAUACUGGAAAAUUCAAAUGUAUGUAAUACACGCAUAUUAUUUUGCAAACAACAUGUAUCUAGCACAAUAAGAAUGAUUAACAGGAAAAUAUAUCCGAUAGUGCUCAUCAUCAAGUAGAUUAAUGUGCAAAGUACGUAAUUGAAUUUAUGGCUUCUUCCCUUCCUGGUCCUCUUAUAUCGAUCAUUUUCUACAUGUGUACACUCUAUCAAAGGUUAAGGACCAUCAUAUUCGGUAAGAGAAAGAUCAUAUAUAUAUAUAUCCCGACCCGACCAUGGUACAAACUCUCUAAACCAUAGUCAGUAAAGACGCUUUACAACGAAACCACCACCAUUUUUAUCACUCAGUACAACAAUGUAUCACUCUUGUCACCAAUGUAGUUUAUCGAUACUUGUCGUUUUUGCGUGUUAUUUGUUUAUGUAAUAUAUAUCUCUU